AAUUCUCAACUCUUCAAAUUGUUGUAAUGACGACUUGAAGACGUUGGAUGUGGAGGUUUUUGCUGGCCUUUUAUUAAGUCAGCUCCUCUUAAAUGCAUUAGUGGUUACUGUUCUUUUCCACUUUGGUGUGAUAGUCUAUCUACGCCUAUAAGUGAAAGAUGUUAAGUGUAGCUGCUUUCAAACCGUCUGGACUUUACUGGACAAUUUGAACU
rnacentral:misc_RNA from 1 species